GUAGCGGAGCGUUCUGUAAGCCUGCGAAGGUGUCUUGUAAAGGAUGCUGGAGGUAUCAGAAGUGCGAAUGCUGACAUGAGUAGCGAUAAAGAGGGUGAGAGACCCUCUCGCCGAAAGACCAAGGGUUCCUGCGUAAAGCUAAUCUGCGCAGGGUUAGUCGGCCCCUAAGGCGAGGCCGAAAGGCGUAGUCGAUGGGAACCAGGUUAAUAUUCCUGGGCCAGCC
rnacentral:rRNA from 1 species